rnacentral:rRNA from 1 species
CACGCAGGGCGCAAGCGUUGUCCGGAAUUAUUGGGCGUAAAGAGCUCGUAGGCGGUCUGUUGCGUCGAGCGUGAAAACUUGGGGCUUAACCCUGAGCUUGCGGUCGAUACGGGCAUGACUGGAGUUCGGCAGGGGAGACUGGAAUUCCUGGUGUAGCGGUGAAAUGCGCAGAUAUCAGGAGGAACACCGGUGGCGAAGGCGGGUCUCUGGGCCGAUACUGACGCUGAGGAGCGAAAGCGUGGGGAGCGAACAGG